ACACCAGCCUUGUGAUGGUGUAUCUUGCUGCCAAAUGCCUUUUUAAUUUUUCUUUCCCUCUGUAAGAUACUAUUUACCAGUGUCCAAUCACAGGUUUGUUAAAAGUUUCACAACUUUCCUUUUGAUAGUGAUGCUGAAAUUAUGUUCCAAAUGACUGAAGAAGUCAAGACGUUAAAUAACCUGGACAUCAUUGAAGAGGAAAAAAAAUUAUUUAAUAAUUGACUACUCUUUCUAUUGUUACUUUAUUUUCAAGUUCUGUGGAAAUAGGCUCCCU
rnacentral:lncRNA from 1 species